rnacentral:lncRNA from 1 species
AAGGGAUAUACACACAGAAGCUGCGCAGCAAAUACAAGACCCCUCCCCCCUUCGGAUCAUCUUUUUCACAGACCCCCGCCCCCUUGACCUCAUCCUUCAUCAUCAGUCAUCGAUCCCAAACGACCGAAGACCCUCCAGUCAUCGCCUCCUGCACAAAAUCAGUGAGAACGGGCCCUCCAAUCUCUCUCGAUCUCUGAGACGACGAGCAGUAGCGGACCCCUCCCAUCGCCGGAAAUUCGAAAAUAACCCGACCUUCACCCAACUCCCUCGCCUCGUCUCAUCUCGUCGCGGUCCACUCCACCAGCAACCCCAUAUCUGGCGAGCUUCACCCUCACGCACACACACAUAGACGGAACAACAGUGUGACCUCCUCGUUCAAUACGUCCUUUGGCUGUUUCACUCUCAGGUCUGUUGAUCUUCCUUGGUUUGCUGUUUUCACCCCCACUAUCAUUACUGUUUCUUCCGUUUUCCAUUAGCUAUUUCAUUAGCGGAUAGGAUUAUGAAACUCAGCUACAAAGCACACUAAAUGGAAUGAAGCUGAUCCAAAUCACUAGUCACUAUUGCAAUCCGUUGAUUUCAUUAUUUGGUUUAAUUCGAGUUUCCUGGCGAGUUCUGAGUUGUAGUCUUAGGUUGCCGACGGGGUUUUCCGGCCAAGUUCCGGCUUUAGUUCCUAUUCACAUAGUGUUAUUGCAAUCGGAAAGGCCAUCAUUUUAAGUUAAGUAGUGAUUUCCGGCGAGGUUCUCAAUCGAGAAAGUGCACGGUUCUGUCGAGGUUGUACAAGUCAUGACUGGUCGUUGUAUGAAUCCUGCUUGGAGGCCUUGUUCCAUGAGAAAUCCUUGCUUCAGUUGAGAUUCAUUCUCAAUUUUUUUCACUAUUGAUUAGUUGAAUGUUAUGUUUGUUUGAUUUUGAUACAUCAUUUGAUUAUUUUAUUUUAGUUGAAAAAUUUUGAACGAGUAUUGAGUGCUUGGUUGAAUUGUUGGAUUUUGAAAACAAAAGGAAAUUUUAACUACAUGAAGCCAUGAAAUAUGAUACUCUCACUUUUGUUAGUUUGCCCAUUAAUUGUUACCUUACUGGAUUUAGGUUGAGAAUAAAUUGGGAACGAUUUGGUUGCCUCAGUUGAAAUUAGGCCUUUAACACCUUCACUUGAGCAAUUAAAUAAAUUUAUAUGAGUGGAUGAAAAUUAUCACCAAGCCCAACUAAUUUUUCAAAUGAAUUCCAAACCUCUAAACAAGCUUGCGUGCUUUUGUAAUAUUUCUUUGAAAUUCAUGAACACUUUGUCCAACAAAUGAAUAUCUAUAGUUUCAGACUUUCAAUAAUUCCAAAUUGAAGAUAGGCAACUUGUAAAUGCAUAGUUGUUUUAGGCGCGUUGUUUUAAUAAUAUUACUUUCCUAAACUCGGGUGUGCAUUUCAUGUGACCCAAACCCAAAUCCAAAAAGGAGGUGUGACAGUUGGCGACUCUGCUGGGGAUCGAACCCAGAAUCUCUGGUUCAAGGUUCAAGAAUUCGAGCUUAGAAUAAUUGUUAUAGUGAGCUUUAUCCAUUAUCUGAUUUUGUUACAUGAUUUGGGCCUAAUGUGCUAAUUGAUUUCUUUUACCGCUUUGAUAUUUCAUGAACUAUAUAUAAACUAUUGCGAAACCCCUCAUCUCUCUGAGUCUUCUAAAUCAUGAAGAAGUUUGCACUUCGUGUGACUUCUUUUCUGUUAGAGUCAUAUCCCAAAUUUAGAUCGAGGUUCGGACAAGUUGUAAAGCCGGUGAAGCUUCUGUAUUCCCGGUACGCUGCCCCCUCCCCCCCGGCUCGAGCUAUCCUCUAGGGUAAGCCAGGUCCAGAACAAUAAACCCAGAUUUUGAACCUAGUAUAACAAGAACUCAUGCCAGAUCCCUAGUAGGAACAUUUGCUUGCAUCACGUGCAUUUGACUUUGGGGACUCAACAUAGGGGUUGGGUCUGUCUAGGACAGGUGUACCCAAAAUAAUAGACCAUCUUGAUGCAUCCUAUGUGCUACAUGUUGCAUUUUUUCAAGGGUAAAAGGGUCAUUUGGUGGACCAAUGAUAAUGGAGGGCGAAUGAAAAAAAAAGAAAAAAAGAGAGAGGAUGAAGUGUGAGGAUGAAGCGAGUAGGGUCCAAUUAUAUUUUUUGUUACAUUUUAUUAAGAAAAAAAGCAUGGAAACUUCAAAAAGAUUUUGCACUUUUUAUCAUUUUUCAAAAUAAAAAAAAACAAAAAAAAUCCAAAAUGAUUUUACAUGUUUCAUCAUUUUUUGAAAAAAAAAAGACAAAAAAUGUGUUUUCUAUAAGUCAGUUGCUUGCCUGUAUCAAAUCUGCCCGAACUACGCAUACCUGAUUCUCGUCUUUCAGGGCGUGAUACGUAGGCAAUCCACAUAGGGUCCGGUCUUCCUAGUAAAUCUUAGAUUCUUGGCUUUGCGGGGUCAUAGCCAAAUUUUGUACUUCUAGCCACCUUUUGGCCAAAUAAGCCAGUUUGCAAAAAUAGCCUCAACCAUGUUUUCCAUGUGUCCAAUAGGGAAUGUUAUUGUCUCACAUAGUGUUGAUUUAAAGUUUUCUCAUACAGGUGUGGAUUUAUUUACCGAAGUUUGAGCAUGACAGACACCCCGUGACCAUCCGGUCAGGAUCGCUCAGUCAGGAGUUGCUUGAGGAGAUUUGUUUUAUUUUUAAGUUUUGACUUUGUUCUUCAUUUUGUGUCGUCUUUUACUUUCUAGUUUUGUACAGUAAUGUCAAGCCUUUUGUUAUUGUUUUUUAUGCUUUAUAUUUGAAAAAUAUGUUGUAACUCAAAAAUUNNN